AACCCCGUCCUCCUCCUGUAUUUCCAGACGUGGAGCCACGCAGCGAAGUGAGCGCCGGGUGUGGGUCUGGGAACUGGUGCUCGUGCUUCCAGUGGGUCCCCGAGAACGGGUCUCAACCGGGCUGCAGCCCCAGCCCCCGACCCAUUCGAGGGAAUAAUCGCUCUUUCUCUGCGGACGUCACGGGCUGGUUGGACAAAAGGUUACAUUGGGUCCAAUCCUGUUUCCAAAUUGCAAAGUAAAAGAGCACUAUCCUCAGCUCCCAAUGCCUCCUCCACGUAUCUGACCUGCCAACUGAACGAGAUUCCUCAUGUUUUUGCCAAACGCGGAGGGCAAUGGAUUUUUUUUCCUUCGCAAGACUUUGUUCAAACUGUUCCUUCUGUCAGAAAAGGUCUUCCCCCUCCAUCUCUGCCUUCAAAAUCUGUUCCAUCCUUCCCGGUGAGACUCCCUUCCUUCCAAGAAGUCUUCCCCAUUCCGAUGUCCUUUUUCCAGAGCCGACCUCUUCUGAGCCCGGCGGACCUCCUCCCCAUUGCCUAGUUCAGUGCUGACCUUGCUCUGCCUCACGUUCAGGCUCUUUCUAUGUCUGCUGAGGCUCCCCGUAGGCCAACUGUAAAGCCACUUGCUCCUACACCCUCCGUGCCUGGCAUGCAGCCUGCACUGGGGACGUGGCUGGGGUGACAGUAAAAGUGGGGACAUCUAUGCUGUGUGACCAUGUGCAUGGAUGUCCUUGCAAUCACUCUUUCCCAAGAAGAGUCUAAGGAAACUUUACAAACUAAACACAACCCUCAGAAGAACAAGUGAGGGUAAAACAGAAACAAUAUGUUUCUAGCCACCUGGGAUGAGCUGUUUACUACAGCUGAACGCUGGAUUUAUCUCUGAAUUUCCUGGAUGAAAGGGAAACAGGCUGGCUCAUAUACUUUUCAUUGUACAAUAACUCUGGAAUCAGAUUGGAAAGAGAAAUUUUUCCUGGCACUGUGUUCAAGGAGAAAUUUAUCAAGUGCGUCCUUAUAUAACAGACAUGAGGUAACACAGUCAGCCCCAUCUCCAACCAGCGUUUUGCAAAAGGACCCAGAUGUCUUCACAUGGGCGAUUCCUGUGUUCGGCUGCAGUUCACAGAGAAGGGAUGUCUGCAAGGAAAUGAGACCACGUGGCCCAUAUCCAGGGCCUUCUCCACAGUUGUAGAAAUCUUGAAAGAAACGUUGGUGUGAGUCUGUUUCAUAUCAGAUCCUAAAAACCACAUCGAGAUUCAUCCCAAAGAUCGUGGUGGCCAGCUUGCCUCAGCUCGAGGCAGGCGGAGGCAGGGGGUGUCCCAGAGCUGAGACAAGAGUCACCCUUCAAGGGGCAGACCAUAGAGGGGCUGGCACGCACUGAGGUGGGCAGGGCUCAGCAUUCAUGCAUGAGUGAACUGUCCCUCCGUGGAACUCUGUACUGGAUGAUGUCAAGGGACCCAUUGUUCAUCAGGAGGUCAUGGCCAGUGUGGUCAGCCUCAAGGGAGAACCAUGGGCACCUUCAUAGAUGUCAUAGCAGGCAAUGAAAAAGACUAGAGUUCUUGGGGAAAGACAAGUUCAUGACUAACACCAGGCCCCGGAGCAAGGAGACAAGUGCAUGUUAGGGCCACCAAGAUGGCAGACGCUGGAUCUAUCUGAUGAUGUCGGAGCAUCAGAAUCACCAUGCGGUGAGGGUCCCCAGGCGGCUAGCGCAGUGACAUUGCAACCUGGGGCUGGUCCCAUAGGAAGUGACCCAAGAGCCUGGUGCACACACCUCAGCUUCUCCUUCUAAGCCUUCCUGUCUGUUCACGUUAUUACUACAAACAACAAGGACUAUGAGAAUGGCCUUAGGGAGAUGAAUGGCUCAGCCAUCAAGUACCAAACUGUAUUUUUCCCCAAAGAAAGUAGACUUGUUUUCAUUCAGCUGAAAAGCCCAGAGCAUCAAAUUAACAAAUUGACUGAUUAAAUGACUUUUUAAAAAUUCUUAAUAACUCAUCCUACUAAACAAGUGUUGUCUUAAGCACCAGCUAUGUGCUCACCAUGGCAUCAGGCACUUUGCGUUCAAUACAGCACAGGAUCACAGCUCUGCAGGCAGAUCUACCCCUCGAGGUGGAGGACACUGCUCUGACAGCAGGGGUCCCGCAGGACCAAGGAAAAUGAGGUACAAGCAAUCGGGUCAAUUGCUUAAGAUCCUGGUCAAUCGGUGACAGAGAGGACUGCAGCCCUGCCCCAGCGCCGGCCUCUGGCAGGCAUGCGACUGAAAUGAAUGACCUGGAAAGAACACGCUUUCAUCCUUCUGGAGUUUUGUCUAAAAAAGGAAUGGACUGCUAUCUUCGGGGGAACCUCCGUGUAGCCUGCAGCAAAUGGCUAAGGAUGGAUGGAGCACAGAGAUCUUCCACUCCCGCUCCCUUCCAGGCACAGGAGCUAAUCACUUCUCUUCACUUGCUCACCUGCUUUCCUUCUUCCUUUCCCUCACAUUCGGUUCUCUUUCCUCUCACCUGCUCCCCAUCUCCUUAUCCGAAAGGGCCUCUGUGAGUCUAGAACCCCCUUUCUGCCCUUGGUCUCUGCACUUUGGAUCACUGGACGCUCAUGGGACGGGGCUUCUGUGGUCAUGAGCAUUUGCAGGGCACCGGGGGGGAGGGAGAAGUUAGCUCAUGGAGGGGCUGGGAGAAGAAUGACCUUGAUGUAAGCGGCAGCCUGGUUCUAAUUUUAGCAACAGCCCAGCACUGGACUUCCUGGAGGUAUCAGAUUGCCCCGCUCUCUCUCCCCCUCCCCUCAGCUGGCUGACACCAGACAUGUGGAAGAGAUUCAGAUCACAAGAAUCACCAAAUCAGGUCACACCCAUGGCUCAUCCGGCUCAGCCUCUGUCUCGGGAAGUGGGGACAGAGAGUCCCUGACCAUCAGAGUUUAUCCAUCUCCUUGUAAAACUCCCUUAGUCUGUAGGCUGGGCCAGAGGUAGAGAGAGGGAAAGAUGGUGGUUGAUACCAAGGGGCUAUCAAACCCAGGUCUAGAAUUGGGGUCCUCUGGCGUCUAGGCUCGCAUGUUGCCUGUCAUGUCACUCUCUCCAGGUUAGGGUUGUAGCCUGAGGAUAUACUCUUGCCUUUCCUGAGGUAUGACCCAUGCAGGAAUAUUUCUAAAUAAUUUUCCCUACCAUUUCUGUAUUUUUUGUAUAUUUUUAAAUUCACUUAUAGAGAAAUGCACGUUUUACCUGUGCAACCUAUGAAUUUUGAAAAACACCUACACCCCCAUCAAGAUAAAGAACACUUCCAUGGCCCCCAGAGAAUUCCAUCUUGCCGCCCUUCCAAUCAAUCCCCCAGACCGUGCCACAAGCAACCACAGCUCUGAUUUCUAUCAUCAGAGAUUCAUUUUUCCAGUUCUUAACUUUACUAUUUGAAGUUAGGUAGAUGCAUGCAGAUCCUUCACUGGGUGGUUCCAGUUGCAUUUCCCUUGUCCAAGCCCCUUCUUGCUGGGCGGAGUGGGAAGGACCCUCAGCUCCAGGUCUCUAUCCCAUGAGCCCACGAUCUGGAAAAGGAACUCAUACCAGGCCUCCGCAGUGCCCGGCAUGUUGUCAGGAUGCAAGUCAUUCAUUCAGACUAGUUCCGUGCCCCAAGGGAAACCUCUUGACUCCAUAUUCCAGAUCUCCUAGAAUGAACUCUGCAAGCCUUCCACUUGUUUGGUAAUGACCCUGGAGUUAACCAGAGUGCUUUUCUCACUGCAGCGCGGGCCCAUCGUUUCAUGUUUUCUCCCUGGUAAAGCUAUUGAACAAUAGCUUUAGUCAAUAGUACAGUAACUCGGGAUCCCUGGGUGGCUCAGCAGUUGGCGCCUGCCUUUGGCCCAGGGCGCAAUCCUGUAGUCCCGGGAUCGAGUCCCACAUCGGGCUCCCUGCAUGGACCCUGCUUCU